GAUGGUGCUUGCACUAUCACUUAGCGGCGGACGGGUGAGUAAUGCUUAGGAAUCUGCCUAUUAGUGGGGGACAACAUCUCGAAAGGGAUGCUAAUACCGCAUACGUCCUGCGGGAGAAAGCAGGGGAUCACUUGUGACCUUGCGCUAAUAGAUGAGCCUAAGUCGGAUUAGCUAGUUGGUGGGGUAAAGGCCUACCAAGGCGACGAUCUGUAGCGGGUCCGAGAGGAUGAUCCGCCACACUGGGACUGAGACACGGCCCAGACUCCUACGGGAGGCAGCAGUGGGGAAUAUUGGACAAUGGGGGGAACCCUGAUCCAGCCAUGCCGCGUGUGUGAAGAAGGCCUUAUGGUUGUAAAGCACUUUAAGCGAGGAGGAGGCUCUUUUGGUUAAUACCCAGAAUGAGUGGACGUUACUCGCAGAAUAAGCACCGGCUAACUCUGUGCCAGCAGCCGCGGUAAUACAGAGGGUGCAAGCGUUAAUCGGAUUUACUGGGCGUAAAGCGCGCGUAGGCGGCCAAUUAAGUCAAAUGUGAAAUCCCCGAGCUUAACUUGGGAAUUGCAUUCGAUACUGGUUGGCUAGAGUGUGGGAGAGGAUGGUAGAAUUCCAGGUGUAGCGGUGAAAUGCGUAGAGAUCUGGAGGAAUACCGAUGGCGAAGGCAGUCAUCUGGCCUAACACUGACGCUGAGGUGCGAAAGCAUGGGGAGCAAACAGGAUUAGAUACCCUGGUAGUCCAUGCCGUAAACGAUGUCUACUAGCCGUUGGGGCCUUUGAGGCUUUAGUGGCGCAGCUAACGCGAUAAGUAGACCGCCUGGGGGAGUACGGUCGCAAGACUAAAACUCAAAUGAAUUGACGGGGGCCCGCACAAGCGGUGGAGCAUGUGGUUUAAUUCGAUGCAACGCGAAGAACCUUACCUGAUCUUGACAUAGU
rnacentral:rRNA from 1 species